GGAUAUGGGUUUGAAAAAAAAUAUUGACGUCUGAAAUAAUCACACGACAAAAAUGGUCCCGGUGUGAAAGGACUUUAACACACACAUCUGGACAGGCAGCUGGCAUUAAAGGGGGGUUUAAAGUUUUAAUGCAGAAAGGUGAGUAAACGUUAAUGCAGUCUGAUUUAAUCAGCAGCCAAAACAGUAUUUGAAAUAAAUUGACAGGAGACAGGAGUUUGUAUUACAGUUGUUUACUGUAGUUGUCAAACUAUCGGGACAAAGGGAAAUAAGACCAAACCACGCAGACGCCAUCAGUUAACACAUUUAGCGAGGUUUGCAACUUCUUUCAUUUAAGCAAGAAAUGAGAAAAACAUAACUGACAUACCAUGACUUUGCUGUAUUUACAGCGCCAUGACGAGAAUCAAAUGCUGCUAGAUCGACGAGUCAUUGCAGAUAUGUUUUGAUGGCUGGUAUUGGGCUAAAAAAAUCCCCAAAAAAUCAAAUUAAAACACAUAAUUCUUUUUUCUUCAGUGCGUAAAUGAAUGGGCAUUGCUGUAGUGUCUGUACAAUUUACCAGGGUACAAUGUACUUUUCCAUACCAGAAACCAGCAAAACCGGGCCAAGCAUACUACAUAAUGACGGCCGACUUGCGGUAAUACUACAUACUACUAUCAAACACAGUACCCAGUAUGCAGUAUCUACUGCAUACUGCAGUCGGCAACAGUAUGUAGCAGGCCGAUUCGAAAACAGCCAAGGUGUUGAAUACAAGAGGUAAUGGGGUGAUUGGACACAGGUUUGGAGGAAACAAUCAGAGAGCAGCUGUGAAGAAAUGAGGGAAGGGCUGACAGGAACAACCUAAAACAGAGACAGGGGUUAGUGAUUUCAAAAUAAAUCAAACAAGAAACACAAAACAUGAAAUGGAAUAUAGACAAAAAUAAGAUAACUAGACCGGUGAACAUAACACAUGCAACAUACAUUGUGUACUUUCAGAAGGUCUUGGCUUUGCAAUGAUGUGAAAGUGGACAGGAAGUACUCUGGAAGCUCGAUUGCCGACUGUUGCCGAGAGUCAUCACCUCACUUGUACACAUAACAAACUGUUGAGAUAUUUUUGUCCAAAUCAAUGUGGAAAAUAAAAAUAGUAACAGACCAACAUAAACCUGCUGCUGAAUAAUCUAAAAAUAUAAAACAUUAUAGCAAGAAGAUCAAGUUUCUCUUCACCUCAAACACUUUUUCAUGGUGUUCAUAUGUGUCUGUGUGAAUGCACCUCCUGUGAAUGUCUUAUAUGUUUCAGCAGUCCCUUCACACCUCCUUCCUCCAGCCAGUCUGCUGGGUAGAUUUGUGGCUGUCCACCCACUAAACACACCUGAUAGUGACGGGUUUGUUACAUCAUCAUCACAAUCAUCAUCAAAACAGAGAGCUGCUGAAAGAGUCCCUCAGAUUCCUGCAUGAACCGCAUGUGUGUCACGUUUAAGUUCACUACCAAAUCUUGUACUUCAGUUUGCUGCUUGUUCGUAGCCUCCUUCCUCCCUCCUCCUCCUUUUCCUCCUCCUUUUUCUUUCAGUUUUCUCUGACUCCGGCAGUGUUUGCUAGGUAAUGAUGAGUGCCCCCUCCCCUUCCUCUCCUCAUACUCAGUUUGAUAGACUUGUCUAUCGUCCUCCUUCUCCUCCCUCAGUCUAUUUGGGCCCAGUGUGUGUGCUAGGUAAUGGUGCAGCUGGGCCAUUAAAAGUGGGGGGCUAUUUGACAGCGCCCCACGCCUUUUAUUUCCUACUCCCUCACCCCUCCCUCUCAAACACACACACACACACACACACACACACACACACACACACACACACACACACACACACACACACACACACACACACACACAGGGCCUGAAAGGACCCAAAUGAACCCCCACAGGAGUAAAUGGAGCCGUUGCCCUAACACUGAGUAUUUCUCUCC